ensembl:lncRNA
UCCCUGCUCUGGGGCCGGGGAUGUGGUGCUCGAGGGGUGUCACUGUUCUCAUGAGCCGCCGACCCGGUGCACCGGCAGCUGUGUGAGGGACGGAUGGUGCAGCAGGGUCACGGUCCUCCUUCCUCCUUACGGAAGGGCUGUGCAGCCCCGGGGGAAAGUGUCAUUUCCCUGUUCUCAGCUCAGCAUUUGUAAAGAUGACAAUGAAAGAUCUGACAGUAUCGCUUUGAUGCGGCGUGACGUGCGUUGGCCUCAGAGCCCUCGGCUUUACUGGAAGUGUGCAAAUCACUGUUCUGCAAAGGAUUCGCAAUCAAAGAGCGUUACGGAUUGGUGUGUCCUAACACAGCCCUCCUUUGGUUGCUCACCUCCAUCCCACUUUUGGAGCUCCGGAGGGAUAACAUUGCUGAGCCAGGGGGGGAACUCUGCACUUGAGAUCAUACCGUGUUCAGAUAACGUUGGAGGUUGAUUCCUCACUGCUUCAGGUGUGCCUGGAGUUGGUGCUGCUCGGUGAUGUGCCUGGGGUGUGUGAGCUGCAAAUGGUGCCUUUGAAUGCUCCUUUAAUUAUGAUUGCGCUGAUUAAAGAUGUAGGACAUGAAAAGAGGUGCUUUCAGUAUGAAGUGCUCUUAGAUAUCUAGCCAGCGGGAGUCACUGUUAUCAGAUGUGCUCACCGUGUAAUUAAAAACCUUGGAGAAACUUACUUAGGGCAUUUGUUUAUAGGUAAAAUUCAGAUCCGUUGCCUUUUUUAGCCACGCUCAGCCUCCAGUGAGGUGUGAAUCACAGAAUUAUGCCCUGAGCUGGAUGGGACCAUCGAGUCCAGCAACGGUGCUGCAUCAGUUCCUGCUUUAAGGCAACACUUAAGCGCACUGCUAUCUUCUGUGAUGAUUUCAGCUCUGUAGUUUACAGAACUGCCAGUAACGGGGAGAGGUGUCUAUGUAUGGGCUUCCCACCGUGUGCCAGUAGGCUGCACGUGCUCCCCCAGUUGUAUUUAUGGAUGCCAGCUUUGGGAAAGCUCCUUUGGAGCGCGCACAUGGAAUCACAGAAUGUCCCACGUUGGAAGAGACCCAUAAGGAUCAUUGAGUCCAACACAUACUGAUGUUUUCAUCUUCAGACCUUAGGGUAUCAUGUAGAAUUUGGCUUGUAGGAGCUCAUGUGUAGGAAUACAGCAGGGCUGCGUGGCUGAGCAUCUCCAACCUGCGCAAGCUCUGUCCUCUGGGGCUUUGUCUCUGCAGGUCCUGGGCAGUGCACCCGCUGGGCUCAGGUCUGCCCAACCCUUGGCAGCACCUGGCAGGUUCCUGCUGUGUUCCUGCCUCGUGUUGGGUGCCUGAAGGCACAGCCCUGCCAACACGCUGUCAGAUGAUGCUGAAUAUUAGCUCACGAUCUGCUGCUCACGAGUUAUCAGAACCUCUUUUCUCAAACAAACAAACAAAAAAGUUGCACAGAAAGCUGCAACAUGUUUUGCUCGUUCCUGAGUCCUUGUGAAAAAAGGGCCUUUUGUGAGAUACUCAUUUAAAAUAGAAGCAUUACACAGACUGUCCCUCUCGUGCCAGCAGGAUGCUGAAGGGCAGGGAGCCUCCGCUUUGUCCCUUUUGCUCCUGCGCCCUGCGUGCCCCUGCAUGGAGCGGUGCCUCUGAGCGGGACCUGGCAGCUGCUGGGAUGCUGAGCUGAGCAGUGCUGCCUUGGUCAAAUGCACAGCACAACCUCUGAGCGUGCGUUCAGACAGUGAGCAGGGACAGCAUCUCCAAGGUGAUCUCUACCUGAUGCCUCCUGGCUUGUUGGGAGGGGUGUGGGCAUCCUGCGACACUCAGCCCCUUCCCUGGGGUACAAAGUGUCUGGGCUGUGCGGAGCUGUCUGGGUGAGGCUCCUGACCCUCGAAGAAGCUGGAAACAAACAGAGUCCCCUGUCAUAAACCGUACAUCUGUUCCUGCUUAUGGUGAGUGGAGCGGUUUGUGUUUUCAGCUGUAAAACUUUGCAGAAAAAUAGAUAGGGAAAUACACGUUCUGCGUUCCGGCUCGUCUUCUGUACCGCUGUAACGCUGCAUCUGCUGGUUAGCAAAUCAGAGGGCUUCACAUCAGUUGAGAUUUUCUGCAGGCACCUCGUGUGCACUGACAGAGUUCGUGCCCUAUAGGAAGCGCGCUGACAAUGCAAAGGGAUGGAGUGACAAUAGAAAUUGUCACGGCAAUAUUGCAGCAAUGACAGCUGCUUACUGAGACGGCUCUCCUGGGGACUGGAAUUGGUCCACGCUCAUAGUUUUCCCCCUGGAGAUGACAGCUCUCAGGGGGCUGCUUUUAUCUUGAGACACCAUUGAACUCACGGUGCUGGAGUGAAAAAAGGCUUUGUGUUUUCUGGAUUCAUUUGUAGGGCAGAGCUGUCAGGAAGCACUGCUGGCUGAAGGGCAGCGCGGAACACCGUGUGCCUGCUGAACAGAGCAGCUUGGGCACAGAGCAGCCCAUUAACAAUUCCAUUGUAAAAACAAACCAAGAAAUGCAUCAAUCACGGGGUUUCCAAGGGUCCUCCAGAUCCUUGGUAAACUUGAAUCCUAUUUGAAAUGUACUUUGUUUGAUUAGAGGAGGUAUCUUCGUGCUGUGACUUGCACUGACAAUCCAGAUCGAAACUUCAGGCACGCUCCUGUGUUAACUAAGCUGGGAUGUCUUUCCUCUUGGUUCUUUCUUCUGGAGUUUUAUUUUUCUUCCCUGGCUGCAGUUCUGCCUUACUCCAAGAUGUUACUUUGGUCCCACGGGGGGACAAUCAGUGUGUUAUUUCUUGCCUGUCCUUAUGACCCAGCUGUAAUCCUGUAACACGCUGUGCUAGCAGGAGGCCCUAAGGAAAUGAGAGAUCUGAACGUACAGGAUUAUAGUUGCUAGACUCAAACUAUGAUCGCCCUUUUUAAGGUUACGUUUCAAUACACAUGUACAUUAGUACCCAGCCCAGCUUUCCUUCCCCCAGCUGAAGAACUGCUGGGUGCUGGGCCCUCCACCAGCACUAACAAAAGCCCUGCCU